rnacentral:rRNA from 1 species
UACAGAGGUCCCAAGCGUUGUUCGGAUUCAUUGGGCGUAAAGGGUGCGUAGGCGGCGCGGUAAGUCGGGUGUGAAAUCUCGGAGCUUAACUCCGAAACUGCAUUCGAUACUGCCGUGCUUGAGGACUGGAGAGGAGACUGGAAUUUACGGUGUAGCAGUGAAAUGCGUAGAUAUCGUAAGGAAGACCAGUGGCGAAGGCGAGUCUCUGGACAGUUACUGACACUGAGGCACGAAGGCCAGGGGAGCAAACGGG